rnacentral:rRNA from 1 species
GAUGAACGCUAGCGGCAGGCUUAAUACAUGCAAGUCGAACGGUAAGGUCUCUUCGGAGAUACACGAGUGGCGCACGGGUGCGUAACGCGUAUGCAACCUACCUUUAACUGGGAAAUAGCCCCGAGAAAUCGGGAUUAAUGUCCCAUACUAUUCUGAGAAUGCAUAUUCUUAGAAUGAAAGCUCCGGCGGUUAUUGAUGGGCAUGCGUGACAUUAGCUAGUUGGUGAGGUAACGGCUCACCAAGGCUACGAUGUCUAGGGGGUCCUGAGAGGGGUUAACCCCCACACUGGUACGUGAGACACGGACCGACGACUCCUACGGGUGGGCACG